rnacentral:rRNA from 1 species
UAAGGCAGCCACAGCCUAAAGUUGCAAGGCGAGCGGACGGGAAGAGCUUGCUCUUCGAUUCAGCGGCGGACGGGUGAGUAAUGCCUAGGAAUCUGCCUGGUAGUGGGGGACAACGUUUCGAAAGGAACGCUAAUACCGCAUACGUCCUACGGGAGAAAGCAGGGGACCUUCGGGCCUUGCGCUAUCAGAUGAGCCUAGGUCGGAUUAGCUAGUUGGUGAGGUAAUGGCUCACCAAGGCGACGAUCCGUAACUGGUCUGAGAGGAUGAUCAGUCACACUGGAACUGAGACACGGUCCAGACUCCUACGGGAGGCAGCAGUGGGGAAUAUUGGACAAUGGGCGAAAGCCUGAUCCAGCCAUGCCGCGUGUGUGAAGAAGGUCUUCGGAUUGUAAAGCACUUUAAGUUGGGAGGAAGGGCAGUAAGAUAAUACCUUGCUGUUUUGACGUUACCGACAGAAUAAGCACCGGCUAACUCUGUGCCAGCAGCCGCGGUAAUACAGAGGGUGCAAGCGUUAAUCGGAAUUACUGGGCGUAAAGCGCGCGUAGGUGGUUUGUUAAGUUGGAUGUGAAAGCCCCGGGCUCAACCUGGGAACUGCAUCCAAAACUGGCAAGCUAGAGUACGGUAGAGGGUGGUGGAAUUUCCUGUGUAGCGGUGAAAUGCGUAGAUAUAGGAAGGAACACCAGUGGCGAAGGCGACCACCUGGACUGAUACUGACACUGAGGUGCGAAGU